GGGUACUUGAUCCUUUAGUGCGCAGCUAACGCGAUAAGCUGUCCGCUGGGGAGUACGGUCGCAAGAUUAAAACUCAAAUGAAUUGACGGGGGCCCGCACAAGCGGUGGAGCAUGUGGUUUAAUUCGAAGCAACGCGAAGAACCUUACCUACUCUUGACAUCCUGCGACAUCCGUAGAGAUACGUUGGUGCCUUCGGGAACGCAGUGACAGGUGGUGCAUGGCUGUCGUCAGCUCGUGUUGUGAAAUGUUGGGUUAAGUCCCGUAACGAGCGCAACCCCUAUCCUUAUUUGCCAGCACUUCGGGUGGCAACUUUAAGGAGACUCCCGGUGCCAAACCGGAGGAAGGUGGGGAGGACGUCAAUUCUUCAUGGCCCUUACGCGUAGGGUUCCACACGUGUUCCAAUGGCCGGUCCAGAGGGCCGGGAACUCCAGAGGGUAAGCUAUUCUCAGAAAACCGUUUCUAGUCCGGAUCCCAUUUUGCAAUUGGAUUGCGUGAAGUGGGAUUCGUUAGUAAUCGGGAAUCACAAUGUCGCGGUGAAUACGUUC
rnacentral:rRNA from 1 species